GACAUUCAGACAGAACCAUGACGGUGAGAGACUGGUGGUGAUGGUGUGUGUGUGUGUGUGUGUGUGACAUUCAGACAGACCCAUGACGGCGAGAGACUGAGACUGGUGGUGUGUGUGUGUGUGACAUUCAGACAGACCCAUGACGGUGAGAGACUGGUGGUGUGUGUGUGUGUGACAUUCAGACAGAACCAUGACGGUGAGAGACUGGUGGUGAUGGUGUGUGUGUGUGUGUGUGUGACAUUCAGACAGACCCAUGACGGCGAGAGACUGAGACUGGUGGUGUGUGUGUGUCUGACAUUCAGACAUACCCAUGACGGUGAGAGACUGGUGGUGAGGGUGUGUGUGUGUGACAUUCAGACAGACCCAUGACGGUGAGAGACUGGUGGUGAUGGUGUGUGUGUGUGACAUUCAGACAGACCCAUGAUGGUUAGAGACUGGUGGUGUGUGUGUGUGACAUUCAGACAGACCCAUGAUGGUGAGAGACUGGUGGUGGUGGUGUGUGUGUGUCUGACAUUCAGACAGACUCAUGACGGUGAGAGACUGGUGGUGUGUGUGUGUGUGUGUGACAUUCAGACAGACCCAUGACGGUGAGAGACUGGUGGUGAUGGUGUGUG
ensembl:lncRNA